rnacentral:rRNA from 1 species
GAGCGGAUGAAGGGAGUUGCUCCUGGAUUCAGCGGCGGACGGGUGAGUAAUGCCUAGGAAUCUGCCUGGUAGUGGGGGAUAACGUCCGGAAACGGGCGCUAAUACCGCAUACGUCCUGAGGGAGAAAGUGGGGGAUCUUCGGACCUCACGCUAUCAGAUGAGCCUAGGUCGGAUUAGCUAGUUGGUGGGGUAAAGGCCUACCAAGGCGACGAUCCGUAACUGGUCUGAGAGGAUGAUCAGUCACACUGGAACUGAGACACGGUCCAGACUCCUACGGGAGGCAGCAGUGGGGAAUAUUGGACAAUGGGCGAAAGCCUGAUCCAGCCAUGCCGCGUGUGUGAAGAAGGUCUUCGGAUUGUAAAGCACUUUAAGUUGGGAGGAAGGGCAGUAAGUUAAUACCUUGCUGUUUUGACGUUACCAACAGAAUU